CCUACGGGAGGCAGCAGUGAGGAAUAUUGCGCAAUGGGGGCAACCCUGACGCAGCGACGCCGCGUGAGUGAAGAAGGCCUUCGGGCUGUAAAGCUCUGUCAGCAGGGAAGAAGUGCCAGAUGGCUAAUAUCCAUGUGGUUUGACGGUACCUGCAGAGGAAGCACCGGCUAACUCCGUGCCAGCAGCCGCGGUAAUACGGAGGGUGCGAGCGUUAAUCGGAUUUACUGGGCGUAAAGGGCGCGUAGGCUGCCGAUCAAGUCAGAUGUGAAAUCCCACGGCUUAACCGUGUGAAGUGCAUCUGAAACUGGUUGGCUUGAGUACUGGAGGGGAAGGUGGAAUUCCCGGUGUAGAGGUGAAAUGCGUAGAGAUGUGGAGGAACACCGAUGGCGAAGGCAGCCCCCUGGGAUAACACUGACGCUCAUGUACGAAAGCGUGGGUAGCAAACAGGAUUAGAUACCCUGGUAGUCCACGCCCUAAACGAUGUCAACUGGUUGUUGGGAGAGUGAAAUCUCUUAGUAACGAAGCUAACGCGUGAAGUUGACCGCCUGGGGAGUACGGUCGCAAGAUUAAAACUCAAAGGAAUUGACGG
rnacentral:rRNA from 1 species